UACGGAGGGUGCAAGCGUUGUCCGGAUUUAUUGGGUUUAAAGGGUGCGUAGGCGGCCUGGUAAGUCAGUGGUGAAAGCCCAUAGCUCAACUAUGGAACUGCCAUUGAUACUGCCAGGCUUGAGUACAGACGAGGUAGGCGGAAUUGAUAGUGUAGCGGUGAAAUGCAUAGAUACUAUCAAGAACACCGAUUGCGUAGGCAGCUUACUAGGCUGUAACUGACGCUGAGGCACGAAAGCGUGGGGAGCGAACAGG
rnacentral:rRNA from 2 species